GAUGAACGCUGGCGGCGUGCUUAACACAUGCAAGUCGAACGGUGAAGCAGGAGCUUGCUCUUGUGGAUCAGUGGCGAACGGGUGAGUAACACGUGAGCAACCUGCCCCUGACUCUGGGAUAAGCGCUGAAACGGCGUCUAAUACUGGAUAUGUGAUGUGACCGCAUGGUCUGCAUCUGGAAAGAAUUUCGGUUGGGGAUGGGCUCGCGGCCUAUCAGCUUGUUGGUGAGGUAAUGGCUCACCAAGGCGUCGACGGGUAGCCGGCCUGAGAGGGUGACCGGCCACACUGGGACUGAGACACGGCCCAGACUCCUACGGGAGGCAGCAGUGGGGAAUAUUGCACAAUGGGCGGAAGCCUGAUGCAGCAACGCCGCGUGGGGGAUGACGGCCUUCGGGUUGUAAACCUCUUUUAGUAGGGAAGAAGCGAAAGUGACGGUACCUGCAGAAAAAGCACCGGCUAACUACGUGCCAGCAGCCGCAGUAA
rnacentral:rRNA from 1 species